rnacentral:rRNA from 1 species
UACGAAGGGUGCAAGCGUUAAUCGGAAUUACUGGGCGUAAAGCGUGCGUAGGUGGUUUGUUAAGUCUGCUGUGAAAGCCCUGGGCUCAACCUGGGAAUGGCGGUGGAUACUGACAAGCUAGAGUGCGGUAGAGGAGGGUGGAAUUCCCGGUGUAGCGGUGAAAUGCGUAGAGACCGGGAAGAACACCAGUGGCGAAGGCGGCUACCUGGACAGGUACUGACGCUAACAGCGCGAAAGCUAGGGGAGCAAACAGG